GGCGUUGGCGGGGCCGGGCCGGGGCUCUGCGGCGCGCUGGGGGGCGCGCUCACCAGGCGCGCGGUCACACUGCGGGUGCUGCUCAAAGACGCCUUGCUGGAGCCUGGCGCCGGGGUGCUGUCCAUCUACUACCUGGUGAGCGUCCGCUGACCCUCAUCCCAGCUCCGACAAGAAGGGAACCCAAGGCCCAGAGCGCCCUGCCGCAGGACGAGACCCCGAUGUGGGGAGGGGAACUGAGCCACGGAGCAGCCUGACCCCGGAUGGAGCCCCUUCUGGGCUGGAGGACCUGGUUCAUCUAAAGCCCCACUCUGCCGUUGAGAGUCUGAGGCUAAGAUGGGCCCUCCUGGCUGUGUGACUCCGCAGCCUCUCUG
rnacentral:lncRNA from 1 species